AGGAGGGGAUUCAAUUCCUUCAUUGGCUUACUCGACCACAUGGAGCCCAUUCCAACCCAGUCGAUGGGCAGCCGCUCGUCUACAGUAUCGGAAGACGCACCGACAGCGUCGAGGUUGUUUUCACCUGAGACUUAACCAUCACCGCGACGAUUUCGUUCAGUAUAAUUCCUCGUUUUCACCUUCUGGUAAACCCCUGCAUCAAGCCUCAGUUUUGCACUGUUCAAAUGUCCACCGACUUCAUUGUCUUUCUCUGACUGAUACCGACAGGACAACGUCUGUGACAGUGACGACUUAAAGAUCCAACGCAAGACUUACGAAUCUAUACACAAUUUUAGUUGGUCAAACUCUCCUAAUGAGGCUGUAGUUGUCAUGUUAAUCCUCUCUAGAAUGAACCUUUCAUGUUGUAUAAAUUCUAACAGCGGAUCUGCAACUAGGGAGCAGUAUACGAGACAAUUGAUAUCGGGGGGUAUGACCAGAAAUGUACAGACUACAUAUUUCAUGGAACAUUGUAUUAGUCCAAGUAUGAUAAUUCCCCUCAAAUCCGUAAUGCAGGAACAAGAAAAAGAGACUGAGCAAUCAUUCGCCUGGCGGCUUGGAAACUUCGAUUAAAGGAUGUAGCAAGACAGAGCUAACAGGGGAAGACUUCAACGUUUAGAGCUGAACACGAAACUUGUCGGUGCAUAGAAUGCCUUCGUAGGCCUGUGAGUAUGAUGCUUCUCGUUUCUCCACAAAAGAAUUAUUGAACGGAUAUCAUCCGACUAAUUCUUAGUUGCAAGUUUAAUUUCUAUAUUAAAUACAAACACGAAAAAUCUCAACGUAUUGUAUAGCAGCUGGCUGAGGAAGACUUUUGACAGCGUCGUUUUGUAGGGACUCGGACAACUAAUUUCUUCUAGUUCAUCAUUCGGAAUGCUCGCCUUGAGGAGCAAAUGUAUUGGAAUUUUUCUUGUAUUUGGUUAACCUCUAUUCAUUCUUGCUAUUCCAACUUUAAACCUCGGCUCUUCAGUGAAAAGCACGACUGGCCAUUUCAAGACUCUUAAGAUUAGAGUGGUUUACUACAUCAGCUGCCAACGACAGACUACACCAUCCAUAGCAACUAUUUUGUCUUCUUCAACGACAGUAACGUGUCAGAGUUAUUGAGAGUGAAUGCUCUAGGUAAGCGAAAGUGAACUGGAAUACCAAUUCGUAAAUCCAGAUGUUACCAAAACUUUGAUGUUCAAGAAGAAUUCUGUAGAUGAGCUGGAAUGUGGUCCUUCGGAGUAGUUCUCCACAAGCUCUCAUGGACCUUCACUUAUAACAUCUUUAUUUGGGUAGCAGUUGGGAGAAAUUUUUGACACGUCAGGUUAUCCCUACUAUCAUACGGUGAUGGCUUAUAAUUGGGGUGCACUUUUACCCUCUUUUGUCUCCCUCUGGGAUAAAGAUGGGUAAUUAUUCCAUCAGCGCUCCGUAAUGGCUGGAGUUUAAAAGGAAAGAAAGCAGCUUUUAAGUGUUGCCUAUUCCGAAAAGACUUGCGCAUUGGGUCGAGUAAGAUUAUUGCAGUUGGAGAGGGAGUAGCUCAGAAUGAGCAGCCAGGACUGAGAACCAGUGAGAGUGGUGUCCUCAAAUGUUCCUCUGACAUGAAGAAAAAGGUGUAGAGAUCCAUAUUCAUGAUGAAGUGGUAGCAGCGCCACAGGACGCUCAUAACUGUGAACAAGAGCCUCGCAAAAAAGUUUAAGCGGUGCAGUAUUCUUCAGUGGACACUGUGCCAGCCCCGUCGAACAUCUUUUAUGAGAUGCACAUCUGAUGCCAAAUUGUGGUUCGCGUGCAGACGCUGGCCAUCAAACUCAUCCUUUGAACUUAUCUUAAUGAAAAAAUAGCUGCGUUUCGGCCAAGUUCAAUGGUCAGGGCAGGAUGAUCACUAAUUAUUUGUACCGUGAGACAAGGUUUUUUUUUUUUUUAAGUACAAGAGAAUGUUCUUACAAGAAAUUAUUUUUGGAUGAAUUCCAUAAAUUUUUUUUUGCUUUU